rnacentral:rRNA from 1 species
GACGAACGCUGGCGGCGUGCUUAACACAUGCAAGUCGAACGAGAAAGCCCUUCGGGGUAAGUACAGUGGCGAACGGGUGGGUAACACGUGGGCAACCUGCCCCAGAGAGCGGGACAACCCGGGGAAACCCGGGCUAAUACCGCAUGAUGCGUCUCCACUUAAGUGGAGCCGCCAAAUGGUAGCUUCGGCCUCCGCUCUGGGAUGGGCCCGCGCCGGAUUAGCUAGUUGGUUGGGGUAACGGCCCACCAAGGCGACGAUCCGUAGCUGGUCUGAGAGGACGAUCAGCCACACUGGGACUGAGACACGGCCCAGACUCCUACGGGAGGCAGCAGUGGGGAAUCUUGCGCAAUGGGCGAAAGCCUGACGCAGCAACGCCGCGUGGGGGAAGAAGGCCUUCGGGUUGUAAACCUCUUUCAGUAGGGACGAAGCUUCCGGGGUUAAUAGCCUACGGGGUGACGGUACCUACAGAAGAAGCCCCGGCUAACUACGUGCCAGCAGCCGCCGUAA